UGUUUUGUAAAUCUGGAGAUGCAAAGGUGUUCUAUUUCGACUUCACCCCCGUGUCCAAUUCAUUGGAUGGAACGUGUCCUGCUUCAUCUUCCGAUGGCUGUCCACCCACCGCCAUGACUUCUGUAAACGAAUUUAUUGUUGGGUCGGCAUCUUGCACCGGUACAGGUGGAGAAGAAGACGUCAAAAUCUUCAACAUUUUCGCACCACCACAAUCACUGGAAUGAAAUUCUACGUUUACCGAACGGUUGUGCGUCGCCACCGACUCGGCCGAAACCGGCUCCUUCCACUCACCCGGCCACCGCCUCUCUUCUGCUUCAUGAAGGUCACUGGCCAUACGCCUACAGCCGCAUCGAUCCAUAGCGGAAUCCGAUAAGCCCAAGGUUUCAAACAAUUUGUGUCAAAUAUGCCACCAUCUGGGCCUACAAAUGAAUUAGCAAACGAACCCUAAACCUUCACGUAAGAAAUAGACGAGGUUUGUUUUUUUUUCCUUACGUCCCUCACCACAUUCCAACCUCACCAUCGAGGAAGCACCUUUCAAGGCAAUCAUUUACUCGAUCUGUUACAUUGUUAGAUGAUUUCCUGUGAUUACAACAUAACAUUUUAUAUCUUAAUCUGCUGCAAGUCAUUGUAAGCCACAAAUCUUGCAUUUUUCUUUGAAUUGUUCUGUAUUUAUUAUUUCCAUUUUCCACUCAUCAUGUGAAUUGCUAAAUGUUGCAGCUAAUCGGAGUCCAAUGUGCUGGUAAUGCUCACUUUUGGGUUAAUGCUAAUGGAUCUUAUCAAGAAGAGGGACAAAAAAACACCAGAUGAUAUAUAUGGGGAGAGGUGACACCUUUUUUAUAAAUAUGUUUCAUGUUUAUGUUUUCUAUUGUUUUCGAAUAUUUUUUUAAAUCCUAGACUAUUUUGACCAAAAUGCCCCUCAAAAGCUUCUUUUAAUUGGAUGUUGUGCUUACAAGAGGAGAAUGGAAUUGGAAAUGCUCCCCAGUGUUUCCAGUUAUUUCUUGGAGCAGGAAGUUUCCUUCUUGGUUUCUCUAAUUGAAAUCAUUUUUUGUUAAAUCUGGGAUUUCAUAGCAAAAGUUUCGAGUUUGGACUUUCUCAGGCCCAGGUUUUAAACAUUUUUUUUGUUUUUUUUAAUUAUUAACAGAUUUCAUGGGCUAUAAUUCAUAAAAAAAAUGAAAUCUUUUUGUCUAAUUCAUUUGUAGGCCCAAUUUUGUUUUAUUACAUAAACAAACUGGUUGUAUACAUUAAAAUUUAACCAGUUUGUAUACAUGUAUGUAUCUAUCUACAAAAUGGAAAUAGGAUCCUUAGAAGAGAAAAAGUGUAUUUAUGUUAAAAUUUGACCAAAAAAAAGCACCUUAGUUUACUUGAUGGAUGCUUACUUUAUUGUUUAUUUAAAGGUUGAUAUAUAUUCAUUAUCAAGAAAGUGGAAAGAAUUAGUGGACAAGGCCAGGGCAAAACAGUUGCAACCUCAAGAGUUGAAAUCUGUGUACCCUUUCAUGUUAAACUGCUUUUGUUGUGUUCCCAAGUUUUGUUAUAAUGUUGUGGGUUAAGUAUAAGAAAUAUAGCAGCGUAUUUUUAAGUAUUUGUCAAAUAUUAUCCUUUUUAUGGUUUCAUCUCUUGAAAAGUUGGUUGUAAGGAAUCUUCUUUAAUCUGUUGCAGGUACUUUUACUCUUUCCAACCUUGGAAUGUUUGGAGUGGAUCGCUUUGAUGCCAUCUUGCCACCAGGAACUGGUGCAAUCAUGGCUGUUGGGGCGUCUGAGCCCACUGUUGUCGCCACCAAGGAUGGUCGAAUCGGCAUGAAGAGCCAGAUGCAGGGAAAAAGGAAAGUGGUCAAGUCACCCAUAGAUAUUACUUUUAAGCACUUUAAGUCGGCAAAUGCAAAAACCAGAUGCGUACUUUUGAAAAUUUAUGUUUUUUAAUGUGUAUGCCUUUGCUAUGUAGUCUAUAUGAAUAACUUCCACAUAUUCAACAUUCAGCAAUGUACACAUUUAACAAAAAAACUAACACCAUUCCAACCCAUGCAAAAACUAGAGUCUUUUCAUUUAUGUAUAAGUUAUCAGAA